AGGGCUUACGGUGGAUGCCUUGGGACCAAGAGCCGAUGAAGGGCGCGGCAAGGCUGCGUUAAGCCUCGAUGAGCCGUCUAGCGGGCAUAGUCGGGGAUACCCGAAUGGGGAAACCUUAUCCGGUGUUGAGUCGGAUAAUCCUUCCUGUAAAGGGAGGAGGGCAAGUGGGGGAACUGAAACAUCUAAGUACCCCGAGGAAAAUAAAUCAACCGAGAUUCCCUUAGUAGUGGCGAACGAACGGGGAUCAGCCUAAACCAGUAUGACUUAGUGGCAUAAGGGCCUAUGUUGUAUUGGGGUUGCAGGGAUUGCCUAGGGCCCCCUUAUGAGGCCCAAAGGAGUUACAAAUCUUAUUUCUAGUCGAAGGAUCCUGGGAAGGACCGCCAUAGAGGGUGACAGCCCCGUAGGCGAAAGGGAUAAGACUCCUGGCGUAUUACCUAAGUACCACGGGGCACGGGAAACCUUGUGGGAAUCCGGGGGGACCACCCUCCAAGGCUAAAUACUCUUGGUCACCGAUAGCGUACCAGUACCGUGAGGGAAAGGUGAAAAGAACCCCUGCUAGGGGAGUGAAAUAGAACCUGAAACCGUAUGCCUACAAGCGGUCGGAGCUCCGCCUUGUGCGGGGUGACGGCGUGCCUUUUGCAUAAUGAGCCAGCGAGUUGCUCGUAUGUUGCAAGGUUAAGGCCAAAAAGCCGGAGCCGUAGCGAAAGCGAGUCUGAAUAGGGCGUUUAGUAACAUGCGGCAGACCCGAAACCGAGUGAUCUAGCCAUGGCCAGGUUGAAGGUGCGGUAACACGCACUGGAGGACCGAACCCACCAGCGUUGAAAAGCUGGGGGAUGAGCUGUGGUUAGGGGUGAAAGGCCAAUCAAACUCGGAGAUAUCUGGUUCUCGCCGAAAUGCCUUUAGGGGCAGCGUCACAUUAUAGUGUAUCGGGGGUAGAGCACUGAAUGGGCUAGGGGGCCUACAAGCUUACCAACCCCAAUCAAACUCCGAAUACCGAAUACAUGAUGUACUGCUGUUCGGCUCCGGGUUAUAUGAUUCGUAGCCCCGAGGGACACAACCCACCUCAUCCGCUAAGGUCCCAAACUUGAUACUAAGUGAUAAAGGCUGUGGAAUCGCCCAGACAGCUAGGAGGUUGGCUUAGAAGCAGCCAUCCUUUAAAGAAAGCGUAACAGCUCACUAGUCAAGGGGUUCCGCGCCGAUAAUUUCCGGGACUAAGUAUCAUACCGAAGCUAUGGGAUUCAUUCGAUUUGAAUGGAUCGGUAGACGAGCGUUCUAUUAACCUGUGAAGGUUGACCCGUGAGGGCAGCUGGAGGAAAUGGAAAUGAGUAUGCUGGCAUGAGUAGCGAUAAACACGGUGAAAUACCGUGUCGCCGAAAGUCCAAGGUUUCCUGAGUAAAGUAACUCUGCUCAGGGUUAGUCGGACCCUAAGCCGAGGCCGAAAGGCGUAGGCGAUGGAAAACGGGUUUAAUAUUCCCGUACCAGUCCGUAAUCGUUAUAACUAUGGGGGGACGCAGAAGUGAAAGGUCAGCCCGGUUUUGAUUGUCCGGGUUUAAGUGUGUAGGAGGGUCCGGUUGGUAAAUCCGCCGGAUUAUUAACUCUGAGACACGAAUAGGAGGGCCUAGCCCAUAAACUGACCAUAAUCCUGCUGCCAAGAAAAGCCUCUAUGUGAGAUUAUGAACUGACCGUACCCUAAACGGACACACGUGGACGAGGAGAGUAUCCUAAGGCGCUUGAGAGAAUCCAGGUUAAGGAACUCGGCAAAUUAACCCCGUAACUUCGGGAGAAGGGGUGCCUUGAUUAGGUGAACACCUUUGCGGUGGAAGCUGAAAGAGGCCGCAGUGACCAGGCCCAAACGACUGUUUACUAAAAACACAGGUCUCUGCUAAAUCGUAAGAUGAAAUAUAGGGACUGACACCUGCCCGGUGCCGGAAGGUUAAAUGGAAGGGUUAGCUUCGGCAAAGCUCUGAAAUGAAGCCCCGGUAAACGGCGGCCGUAACUAUAACGGUCCUAAGGUAGCGAAAUUCCUUGUCGGGUAAGUUCCGACCUGCACGAAUGGUGCAACGAUUUGGGCACUGUCUCAACCUGGAGCUCAGCGAAAUUGAAGUGUCGGUGA
rnacentral:rRNA from 1 species